GGCGACGUAGCCAAGAGGGAAGGCAGGAGUCUGCAAAACUCUUAUUCACCGGUUCGAUUCCGGUCGUCGCCUCCG
rnacentral:tRNA from 2 species